GACGAACGCUGGCGGCGUGCCUAAUACAUGCAAGUUGAGCGCUGAAGGUUGGUACUUGUACCAACUGGAUGAGCAGCGAACGGGUGAGUAACGCGUGGGGAAUCUGCCUUUGGGCGGGGGACAACAUUUGGAAACGAAUGCUAAUACCGCAUAAAAACUUUAAACACAAGUUUUAAGUUUGAAAGAUGCAAUUGCAUCACUCAAAGAUGAUCCCGCGUUGUAUUAGCUAGUUGGUGAGGUAAAGGCUCACCAAGGCGAUGAUACAUAGCCGACCUGAGAGGGUGAUCGGCCACAUUGGGACUGAGACACGGCCCAAACUCCUACGGGAGGCAGCAGGAGGGAAUCUUCGGCAAUGGACGAAAGUCUGACCGAGCAACGCCGCGUGAGUGAAGAAGGUUUUCGGAUCGUAAAACUCUGUUGGUAGAGAAGAACGUUGGUGAGAGUGGAAAGCUCAUCAAGUGACGGUAACUACCCAGAAAGGGACGGCUAACUACGUG
rnacentral:rRNA from 1 species